AAAUCAAAAAGCUUAUCCAUCUUCUUCAUUUCCAUUCUAGUCCUUCAAAAUUGGCGAAAGCAUCAGAGAAGAAAUCAGUUGAGAAGAAAGGAGGAAGUGAUAAGAAGAAAAAGAGGUCAAAGAAAAGAGUUAAAAUGUACAAGAUCUAUAUAUUUAAGGUUCUAAAACAAAUUCAUCAUGAUAUUUGUGUUUCAAGUAAAGCAACGGGAAUAAUGAACAGUUUCAUCAAUGAUAUUUUCGAGAAACUUGCUUAG